AGGUGCCAAUGAACUGGCUGUGCAGAAAGCAAAGGCAGAAAUCACCAGGCUUAUAAAAGAAGAACUAAUCCGGCUGCAAAAUUCAUACCAACCAACAAAUAAAGGAAGAUACAAAGUCUUAUGAACAUCUGGAAAAAAUUUUUUACUUGUGCUGAUCUGUGAUACAUGUGGCAUUUGUUGUCUUCAUUUUACAAUGUAUUGUAAAUUAAGAUUUUUAAAAUUCUAUCUCACUGAUUUUUUUAAAUACAAGAAAGCAGUAUUUGCUAAAGAAAUCUUCUGUCAGUAAGUACUCCCACAAUUAAUCAAACUAUAUUUAAAGCAGGCCUGUUUUCAUAGUGUGAUUCCUUUCAUGUAAAACUUAAAUAUCAAUAUUUUGAAUGGAUAAUAUUCUAGAGGUUUGAAAAAUGGAAAUAUUCAGGCUUUCUAUUGAAGGUAAUAAAGUACACAGAUCAGUAAGGGGCUAUUCACGUUAAUUUCAUGUGAUCAUUUCCUGAGAAAAGGUAAUAUUCUCUAUAAUAUUUUAUGUCUCCUCCAACCCCCAAGCUUACAUGUUACCUGACUCAGUGGAACAAUAUGAAUUGAGUUUAAGAAUGUCAUAAUAGAGGUUUUACAAAAUAGAUUCAGAGUUUUUGUUUUCAAUUUUUUUUUAUCAUUGUAAAUGGGCCAAAAGUAAUUGGACUACUUUUGUUUUUGGUAAAAUUAAAAAUUUAAUUACA